AUGCCGGAUCUACCAGAUUAUCUAAUACCAAGACUAAAGAUGUGAUUCCAAGAUGCAGAGAAAGCAAGGGAAUUUUAUAACAGAUACACCACACAGGCUGGUUUUGGAAUCGGGAAGCGGGGGGGGGAUGACAAUCACAAGUAUUUUGUUUGCGCGUUCCAGGGGAAACACACAACUUCUAUUUCAGAGGCUGAUAGGCAGCGAAACAAAACAUCGCAGAGGACAGGCUGCAAUGCAAGAAUGAGGGUGAAGGUGCAGGAGGAUAACACAUGUGUGGCAGUGGACAUUGAGUACAAUCAUAAUCACCAACUCAUGCAAACUGAUGACAUGCUGGUAUUCUUGCACUCACACAAGAAUUAUGAUCCCACUAUUCUGGAGUAUGUAAAGCUCCUGCAGUACCAUGAUGUCAAGCAUACAAUAAUCAUGUCCAUGCAAUUAGAAAAUGAAGAUGGAAGCUACUUCCUAAGCAUGACCGGACAAGACCUACUAAACUAGAAAGCCAUGAAUGCAAAGAAAGAUGAUUUGGAUGAUGUAUUGAAACUUGUAUCAUUCUUCAAAGACAUGAAGGCAGUCAAUGAUGAGUUUUUCUAUGGCAUACAAGUAGACAAGGACAAGUCAAUUAAAAACAUUUUCUGGUCCAAUGCCAGCUGCCGAGGAGCCUAUCAAGACUUCUGCGAUUGCAUAACAUUCGACACAACUUACAAGACCAACAGAUUUCAUAUGCCUCUGGGAGUGUUUGUUGGAACAAAUCAUCACUUGCAGUCAACGAUAUUUGCUUUUGCCCUGAUCAGAGAUGAAGAUGCAAAGUCAUUCAAGUGGCUGUUCGAUACAUUUGUAUGGUGCAUGAACAACAAGCACCCCACUUGCAUUCUAACGGACCAGUGUUCGUUGAUGGUGAAAGCUAUACCACAAUCAUUCCCAAAAACCGUCCACAAGCUAUGCCGUUGGCACAUCCUGAAGAAGUACAAGGAAUACCUAGCGUUGAUGUACAAAAAGUAUAAAACAUUCAAAGAGGAGUUCACAGCUAUAUUAAACUGGCCGCUGAUGCCAACGGACUUCGAAGUUGCCUGUGCUGAACUCGUGCACAAGUACACCAAAUGA
rnacentral:rRNA from 1 species